rnacentral:rRNA from 1 species
UACAGAGGUCUCAAGCGUUGUUCGGAUUCAUUGGGCGUAAAGGGCGCGUAGGCGGCGGGGUAAGUCGGGUGUGAAAUCUCAGGGCUCGACCCUGAAACUGCACUCGAUACUGCUCUGCUUGAGGACUGGAGAGGAGACUGGAAUUCACGGUGUAGCAGUGAAAUGCGUAGAUAUCGUGAGGAAGACCAGCGGCGAAGGCGGGUCUCUGGACAGUUCCUGACGCUGAGGCGCGAAGGCCAGGGGAGCAAACGGG